CUGAUGUGCAUAUGGAAUCUUGACUGAGGAAAAAUAAAAUUAUUUGGAAAAGUAAACAGAAGAUUGAGAAUGUCUGAAAAAGGACAGAAAAGGAAAGCUGCCUUUCACCCAACUCACUCAGACACUUGUGGAGAGGAGUUAAAUCCUCUGAAGGGCAAAGUUUAUCAUUCUAAGCAGUGACCAGCAACAACAUGAACAGUGACUGCAUCAUAAUGAGAAGAAAUAGGACAAACUGUAAUGCUGAAGAGAAUGUUCCAAGAGGACAUUUGAAGAGAAAUUUAUGAUCCAAGUAUUGGCUCUCUCACUCAAUGCUGAAGGAAGUUCAUCCUUGAAAUGAGAGGGGCAAAGAACUGCCAGAAUAGCUUCACCAAACCCUAUCUUGAGGCCUCACAGGUGUGAAAACCGAGCACUCCAGGUAUUUUACAACAUCAUCUCCCUAGCCAUGGUCACUUCCUACAGCUUUGUGUUUCCAAGGGCAACAAAAGCUAAAAUAAACAAAUGGGACUGCAUCAAGUUACACAAUUUGCACAAAAAAGGAAACUAUCAACAAAAUGGAAAAGCAAACUACUGAAUGAGAG
rnacentral:lncRNA from 1 species